UGCUGAAAGCAUCUAAGCACGAAACUUGCCCCGAGAUGAGUUCUCCCUGACCCUUUAAGGGUCCUGAAGGAACGUUGAAGACGACGACGUUGAUAGGCCGGGUGUGUAAGCGCAGCGAUGCGUUGAGCUAACCGGUACUAAUGAACCGUGAGGCUUAACCUU
rnacentral:rRNA from 1 species